rnacentral:rRNA from 1 species
UACGGGGGGAGCAAGCGUUGUUCGGAUUUACUGGGCGUAAAGAGCUCGUAGGCGGUCUGUUGCGUCGGCUGUGAAAACCCGGGGCUCAACCCCGGGCCUGCAGCCGAUACGAGCAGACUAGAGUUCGGCAGGGGAGACUGGAAUUCCUGGUGUAGCGGUGAAAUGCGCAGAUAUCAGGAGGAACACCGGUGGCGAAGGCGGGUCUCUGGGCCGAAACUGACGCUGAGGAGCGAAAGCGUGGGGAGCGAACAGG